GCGGGACAGCAUAGUGGUCUAAUGCACUUCCUUGGUAAGGAAGAGACCGCGAGUUCAAAUCUCGCCCGGGGCU
rnacentral:tRNA from 1 species